ncrna:unclassified sequences S15-Flavobacteria ribosomal protein leader
UAUCUUUGCACCGUCUUUGUAAAAAGUUUACCCAGACUACAUAAUGAUCAUUCAAGCAAUAUUGGCAUG